CAGACGUGGCAGCCGCCCGCCACACACGCGUGAUUAGGGGGACUCUGACGGCGCUUGCCAUAGAAGUCGCCCUUUCCCUUUCAUUCACGGAAUCCUGGAGGGUGGGAUGACUGAGUGUUGCCAUCACGCGUUCCCUCCGACAUCUCAAUACAUCCCCUAUGGUCAAGGUCGUCGCGACUGCCGCACGAGAUCCCGUUACCUGUCCAUCCUUUUUACCUGGAGAAAGCGUCUGUGACGGCCAGGGCGGAGCGGCGGCCUCUUCCACUUUCACCGACCGCCAGCGGCAUGGCUGACGUAAUACUUAUGUCGGAUGGCGGUCUUAUUACUAUCAUUAUUAUUAUUAUUAUUAUUAUUAUUAUUAUUAUUAUUAUUAUUAUUAUUAUUAUUAUUAUAGCCGACACGUGCUCCCUCCGAUAUCUCAGUACAUUCCCCUAUGGUCAAGGUCGUCGCGACUAUCCACGCCGUACCGCCAUAAUCUCCAGUCUGCCGACGUAUAUAUGUCAUGAAAAGGUAAAGUUUAAAGUCAGUCUGUUAGUUGACAGGGUUUAAAAAACAUGUCAUUGAGAGAUAGUGACGAUAUAUACGUAUACCUAUCUUCUCUUGCAGGUGGUAGGUCAUUUCCCAACAACACAACAACAGAAUUUGAAAACAGAAUCUUACCCAUUCAUUUAGACACCGGCAGGGAUUAUGAAGUCGGCCUGUGUAAUAUUUUAUUCCCUAAAUAUUUCUACUGCAUUACGGAAGGGGAUCCAAAUUCUAGUAUAUCGUUCUAUGGUCGGGUUAAGCAGUCAGACUUUGAUAUGUAUGAAUAUAAUAUGUAUACCUAUCUACCGGAAAGGAAUAUCAUCUCCAAUUUUACCGAUAAGAACAUACCGGCCAUAACUAAGGCGAUUAAUGGACAGAUAGUGAGAGAACUUCAAGCAAUCUUGAAUGACUCCUUUAAGAUCUAUUUCCCUUACUCGGAUAUCAUUUAUUAUGACCACGACUUGGAGCGGGUCGUUGUGAAUAACGCGAUUGUCCCUCCUAAUGACGAUCGUAUUUACAGUGAUAUAAGUAUAAAAUUUGCAUCGCAUAUAGCUCACAUUCUGGGUUUCAAUCCAAAUUUUCGCUACACCGUCUACUUUCAAAGAUCUGGCGAUGUCAUUUCAUCUUCCAGCGCGAGCGAAGCUUCCUCCUCAUUACCCAUAAAAUUAUUCGCUCAAUACGUACCGCGAGCUGAUGCAGGGACGGAUUAUAUGUACGUUUAUACCGACAUCAUUUCUCCCUCGCGAUUUGGUAACCAACUAGUUAAUAUAUUAGACGUCAUACCACUCCCCGGCGACAGCACCAGUACAGGUGCGAAUUCAGUUACGUAUAAACCACUUUCUGUAUCAACUAUAGAGAGUGUGGCUAUCAAAAUUGCUAAUCAAAGAGGCAAACCUAUUCAGUUUGAAGAUGGGGAAAACAGUGUUACUUGCGUGUUACAUAUAAGACCACGUUAACUUUGCGUCUCGGACGUAAAGUUUUGAAGAGAAUCGAUCAAGGUGGGAUAAUGGGUGGAGUGGAGGAUAAUGAAACAGGCAGGUGUUGCCUACUUCCGAGGCAAGUCACGCACCUCGCGACCAUCUGCGCGGGAAGCUUCAGUGUUUCCCCGCGCGGCAUGGCGGCCGGGACAAAGUGUUGACAAUGUUAUAGAAAAAAAAGAAAAGAAAAAUGGGUGUUCAUUGUGGAACAGCAGAGGCGCGGCUUUUAUGUGAAGUGUGUGGGAGAUGGCACACUAAUCCAUCCUGCCCCUCAUGUGUGGAAGACCAGUGUGAUUUAUGCGAGCGGUGUGGACUUCUGUUUCCACAUCCACCGCCAGAACACACCUGCGAAGUUGGCAAUCCUGCUUCUUCUGGUAAGCAUUAUUACUUAUUUUGGCGGGAAUGUAUAAUAAUAAAGAUGAAAUGACUGUCAAUCUUUACAAGUUUGAGCUCUGAGCACAUCUUCCUGUACAGGCUCACACUCCAUUUGAGGUUGGACAGAACGGCGGCGUAGAAGGCCCACGUCGGCGGACGUCACAAGGCGACAUCCCACGCGGAGGCGGGGGAAGAGACUCGCCACGGCCGGGACCGAGUGGAUUAUCGGGGAACGUAUUCAAUUCUUCCGAGACUUCAAGUCCUUCACUACCUACACAAGACACGCCACAAGCGGAGGCGGACCACGAUGAGUGCAGCAUGGCGGGAGAGUCGGCGGAUGCAGACCUUGACGAGCGCGGGAUGCCGGAAGAACCGCGGUUAAUUGACUCGAGGGAAAAUUUUAUGAGGAGCUUCACCAGACAUCAAUAUGACAUACCUGAUCAUGUAAGCAGAGAUCCACUCGGUCUACUUACCGAAUACAGGGAGUUCUUUAUACGGGAAAUUAGAUCAUAUUUCACGUCACACGGCUCGCCAUUCCCCCCCACCCUGAAAAUAUUUUCACACAUUUCUCUGUUACUAGUGAAAU